GCGGGCGUAGCUCAAUGGUAGAGUCACAGUCUUCCAAACUGUAUACGCGGGUUCGAUUCCCGUCGCCCGCUCCA
rnacentral:tRNA from 1 species